GAUGAACGCUAGCGGGAGGCCUAACACAUGCAAGCCGAGCGGGAUUUGUUGGUUAUCUUGCUAACUAACAAUGAGAGCGGCGUACGGGUGCCUAGCACGUGUGCAACCUGCCUUUAUCUGGGGGAUAGCCUUUCGCAAGGAAGAUUAAUACCCCAUAACAUAUUGAUUGGCAUCAGUUAAUAUUGAAAGCUCCGGCGGAUAGAGAUGGGCACGCGUAAGAUUAUCUAGUUGGUGAGGUAACGGCUCACCAAGGCUGCGAUCUUUAGGGGGCGUGAGGGGGUGAUCCACCAGAAUGGUACUGAGACACGGACCAGACUGCUACGGGAGGCAGCAGUGAGGAAUAUUGGACAAUGGGUGAGAGCCUGAUCCAGCCAUCCCGCGUGAAGGACUAAGGACCUAUGGUUUGUAAACUUCUUUUAUACAGGGAUAAACCUACUCUCGUGAGGGUAGCUGAAGGUACUGUAUGAAUAAGCACCGGCUAACUCCGUG
rnacentral:rRNA from 1 species